GAUGAAGAACGCAGCGAAAUGCGAUAAGUAAUGUGAAUUGCAGAAUUCCGUGAAUCAUCGAAUCUUUGAACGCACAUUGCGCCCCCUGGUAUUCCGGGGGGCAUGCCUGUCCGAGCGUCAUUGCAACCCUCAAGCGCGGCUUGUGUGUUGGGCUUCGUCCCCCCGUGGACGUGCCCGAAAGGCAGUGGCUGCGUCCCGAAUGGUGCCCGAGCGUAUGGGAACUCUCUUCCGCUCGAACCGGCCCAUUCGGCGCUGGUCGAACCCCAAUUUUUUUUUACCGGUUGACCUCGGAUCAGGUAGGGAUACCCGCUGAACUUAAGCAUAUCAAUAAGCGGAGGA
rnacentral:misc_RNA from 1 species